rnacentral:rRNA from 1 species
CCUACGGGAGGCAGCAGUGAGGAAUAUUGGUCAAUGGUCGGGAGACUGAACCAGCCAAGCCGCGUGAGGGAUGAAGGUACAGAGUAUCGUAAACCUCUUUUGUCAGGGAACAAAGGCGGGGACGUGUCCCCGGAUGAGUGUACCUGAAGAAAAAGCAUCGGCUAACUCCGUGCCAGCAGCCGCGGUAAUCCGGAGGAUGCGAGCGUUAUCCGGAUUUAUUGGGUUUAAGGGGUGCGUAGGCGGUUUGUUAAGUCAGCGGUAAAAGCCCGGGGCUCAACCUCGCCCCGCCGUUGAAACUGGCAGUCUCGAGUUGGAGAGAAGUAUGCGGAAUGCGCGGUGUAGCGGUGAAAUGCAUAGAUAUCGCGCAGAACUCCGAUUGCGAAGGCAGCAUGCCGGCUCCACACUGACGCUGAGGCACGAAAGCGUGGGUAUCGAACAGGAUUAGAUACCCUAGUAGUC